rnacentral:rRNA from 1 species
CUACGGGAGGCUCCAGUGAGGAAUAUUGCACAAUGGGGGGAACCCCGAUGCAGCAACGCCGCGUGGAGGAUGACGCAUUUCGGUGUGUAAACUCCUUUUAUAUGUCAAGAAAAUGACGGUAGCAUAUGAAUAAGCACCGGCUAACUCCGUGCCAGCAGCCGCGGUAAUACGGAGGGUGCAAGCGUUACUCGGAAUCACUGGGCGUAAAGGACGCGUAGGCGGGUUGGAAAGUCAGGUGUGAAAUCCUACAGCUUAACUGUAGAACUGCACUUGAAACUUCUAAUCUAGAGUAUGGGAAGGGGAGAUGGAAUUAGUGGUGUAGGGGUAAAAUCCGUAGAUAUCACUAGGAAUACCUAAAGCGAAGGCGAUCUCCUGGAACAUUACUGACGCUAAGGCGUGAAAGCGUGGGGAGCAAACAGGAUUAGAUACCCGCGUAGUC